rnacentral:lncRNA from 1 species
CCUGUUGCUUUGUUUGCUUUCUCUGAUUCUGAUGUUUUCCUGUUCUUGUUGCCUUUGUGCUUUUAUCUAAAUACAAUGUUUUUCUCUUCAAUUAUUUAUUUUGCUAUGUCUUUUUGAUUCUGACAAAAAGGGGGAGAAGUCAUUAAUAGCUCUGAUGAAAAUAUUGUCUAAAUACCUUAAGCAUUCUGCAACAUAUUUUUCUUAAAAAUAAAUUUAUCUAACCUGGACUU